UACGUAGGGUGCAGGCGUUAAUCGGAAUUACUGGGCGUAAAGCGUGCGCAGGCGGUUUUGUAAGACCGAUGUGAAAUCCCCGGGCUUAACCUGGGAACUGCAUUGGUGACUGCAAGGCUAGAGUGUGUCAGAGGGAGGUGGAAUUCCACGUGUAGCAGUGAAAUGCGUAGAGAUGUGGAGGAACACCGAUGGCGAAGGCAGCCUCCUGGGAUAACACUGACGCUCAUGCACGAAAGCGUGGGGAGCAAACAGG
rnacentral:rRNA from 1 species